rnacentral:misc_RNA from 1 species
GAUGAAGAACGCAGCGAAAUGCGAUACGUAAUGUGAAUUGCAGAUCUCUCAGUGAACCAUCGAAUUUUUGAACGCACAUAGCGCCCGCCGGUCAUUCCGGCGGGCAUGCCUGUCCGAGCGUCGAUGACGCCGCUCGAGCCCCCGUGCUCGGUGUUGGGGCGCUAGGUCUCCCAGAGGCCUAGGCCCCCAAGUAGCAGUGCGCGGUCCGGCUGCGGGCCCCGGGUACAGUAACUUCACUGUUGAGAUGCCCUGGGAGCCGCUGGUUGGGUCAGCCGUAAAACCCCCGACCUAGGCCUUCCUGUCCGCCCCCGGCGGGGAGGGAGACCGCCUAAUGUUGACCUCGGAUCAGGUAGGACUACCCGCUGAACUUAAGCAUAUCAAUAAGCGGAGGA